AGAGUUUGAUCCUGGCUCAGAUUGAACGCUGGCGGCAGGCCUAACACAUGCAAGUCGAGCGGUAACAGGGAGUGCUUGCACUCUGCUGACGAGCGGCGGACGGGUGAGCAAUACUUGGGUAUCUGCCCGAUAGUGGGGGACAACACGGGGAAACUCGUGCUAAUACCGCAUACGCCCUACGGGGGAAAGCAGGCUUCGGCUUGCGCUAUCGGAUGAGCCCAAGUCGGAUUAGCUAGUUGGUGAGAUAAAAGCUCACCAAGGCGACGAUCCGUAACUGGUCUGAGAGGAUGAUCAGUCACAC
rnacentral:rRNA from 1 species